GUCCAAUCUAAGAACUGUUAAUACAAUGUUUGCAGCAUCAUUCAGCAAGCUUGGUGUUCCCAUCAAGACUACAGUCUCAGCUAAUGUUCUUGAAGAAGCUCUAAAUGGAACCGUCACAGUUCGACUCCUUCCUAUUGGAACAUCAGUUAGUGGAAAGGU